UCUACUUGUAUUUUUGUCCAUCUGAUGAGUUAAGCCUUUUUCAACUGAUUUUUAUAAUUCGUUCUUAUGUUGUACUGUUAUACCACUGUCCCAGGUUAGGGGGAGAGUUAGGAUCCCGCUAACAUGUUUAACCCCGCCACAUUAUUUAUGUAUGUGCCUGUCCCAAGUCAGGAGCCUGUAAUUCAGUGGUUGUCGUUUGUUUAUGUGUUACAUAUUUGUUUUUCGUUCAUUUUUUUUUUACAUAAAUAAGGCCGUUAGUUUUCUCGUUUGAAUUGUUUUACAUUGUCUUAUCGGGGCCUAUUAUAGCUG
rnacentral:lncRNA from 1 species